rnacentral:rRNA from 1 species
AGAGUUUGAUCCUGGCUCAGAAUCAACGCUGGCGGCGCGCCUAACACAUGCAAGUCGAACGAGAACGGCUUCAGCAAUGGGGCCUAGUAAAGUGGCGUACGGGUGAGUAACACGUGGGUAAUCUACCUUCUAGUGGGGGAUAACCCGGGGAAACCUGGGCUAAUACCGCAUAAUAUCCGCAAGGAUCAAAGGGGAAAUUCGCUAGAAGAUGAGCCCGCGGCCGAUUAGCUAGUUGGCGGGGUAAUGGCCCACCAAGGCUCUGAUCGGUAGCCGGUCUGAGAGGACGCACGGCCACACUGGAACUGAAACACGGUCCAGACUCCUACGGGAGGCAGCAGUGGGGAAUCUUGCACAAUGGGGGAAACCCUGAUGCAGCGACGCCGCGUGAGUGAUGAAGCUCUUCGGAGUGUAAAGCUCUUUCGGCAGGGAAGAAUUAAGACGGUACCUGCAAAAGAAGCCCCGGCUAACUACGUGCCAGCAGCCGCGGUAAUACGUAGGGGGCUAGCGUUGUUCGGAAUUACUGGGCGUAAAGAGAGCGUAGGCGGUGCAGUGUGUUUGGUGUGAAAUCUCCCGGCUCAACCGGGAGGGGCCAUCGAAAACUGCUGUGCUUCGGGUACGGGAGAGGGGAGUGGAAUUCCCGGUGUAGCGGUGAAAUGCGUAGAGAUCGGGAGGAACACCAGCGACGAAGGUGGCUCCCUGGACCGUUACCGACGCUGAGGCUCGAAAGCUAGGGGAGCAAACAGGAUUAGAUACCCUAGUAGUCC